GGGAAAGCAACAACUGAAGAGAAAGUGAGCACAAAACAGAAAGUGAAAUCACCCCGGCUGCCAGCCGCAUCCCCGAGAAGCUAUCACCACUCACAUUGCUAUUAGACAAAUGAAACCUUAAACCUCUCUACUCUAAUGACCACUGAUUGCCCGGAGUGGUGAGGAAAGGCUAAAGACAGCCACAGAAGCCCGCGCAGCCAGAUGUUGAGGAGGGAUGCUGAAGUGCUGUGGGUCCUUGCAGAAGGCAGGAAUCAGAGGCUCUCAGUUCACGCUGGGGCACUUACCUGUUCACAGCUGUCACUGCAUUUUGCGCUCUCUUCAUAAAUACAUUAACGUGUUCAACAAGCAGUACAA